rnacentral:rRNA from 1 species
AUUGAACGCUGGCGGCAGGCUUAACACAUGCAAGUCGAGCGGGGUGAUGGUGCUUGCACUAUCACUUAGCGGCGGACGGGUGAGUAAUGCUUAGGAAUCUGCCCAAAAGUGGGGGAUAACUAAGGGAAACUUUAGCUAAUACCGCAUAAUUCUCUGAGGAGAAAAGUUGCCCGUAAGGGUAGCGCUUUUGGAGGGGCCUGCGUCCGAUUAGUUAGUUGGUGAGGUAAUGGCUCACCAAGACUGUGAUCGGUAACUGGUCUGAGAGGACGACCAGUCACACUGGGACUGAGACACGGCCCAGACUCCUACGGGAGGCAGCAGUGGGGAAUCUUGGACAAUGGGGGCAACCCUGAUCCAGCGAUGCCGCGUGGGUGAAGAAGGCCUUCGGGUUGUAAAGCCCUUUAGGCUGGGAAGAAGAGUGUGGGAUGAAUAAUCCUGUACUUUGACGGUACCAGCAGAAUAAGCACCGGCAAACUCUGUGCCAGCAGCCGCAGUAA